rnacentral:tRNA from 1 species
AGAAUUUUAGCUUUGGGUGCUGAGGGUGAAGUUAAAUACUUUUUCUCUGA